CAAAGGAGCAAUCCGCUGAAAGAUGGGCUCGCGUCCGAUUAGGUAGUUGGCGGGGCAACGGCCCACCAAGCCGACGAUCGGUAGCCGGACUGAGAGGUUGAACGGCCACAUUGGGACUGAGACACGGCCCAGACUCCUACGGGAGGCAGCAGUGAGGGAUAUUGGUCAAUGGGGGAAACCCUGAACCAGCAACGCCGCGUGAGGGAAGACGGUUUUCGGAUUGUAAACCUCUGUCCUCUGCGAAGAUGAUGACGGUAGCAGAGGAGGAAGCUCCGGCUAACUACGUGCCAGCAGCCGCGGUAAUACGUAGGGAGCAAGCGUUGUCCGGAUUUACUGGGUGUAAAGGGUGCGUAGGCGGCUUUGCAAGUCAGAAGUGAAAUCCAUGGGCUUAACCCAUGAACUGCUUUUGAAACUGCAGAGCUUGAGUGGAGUAGAGGUAGGCGGAAUUCCCGGUGUAGCGGUGAAAUGCGUAGAGAUCGGGAGGAACACCAGUGGCGAAGGCGGCCUGCUGGGCUCUAACUGACGCUGAGGCACGAAAGCGUGGGUAGCAAACAGGAUUAGAUACCCUGGUAGUCCACGCUGUAAACGAUGAUUACUAGGUGUGGGUGGACUGACCCCAUCC
rnacentral:rRNA from 1 species